rnacentral:lncRNA from 1 species
GUGAAUAUGGGCCCUUGGAUCAAACCGACAUAGAUUGUAUGGUUUAGAUUCAUCCUUUAGGUCGGUGGAGAUCUCCCGCAAAGCAGAGUCCUGAUUGGACUCAGGAGGUGGGCGGGCGCCCUGACCAACUGGGCGGCCGCCCAGGGUCUGGCCCCGUUUCGCCUCCGCUUCGGUCUCGUGGCUUCUGGAGUCUUCUAGAUGUAAGAUAAUUGUGCGGCACGUUAAUAUCUUUACGUAAUCCUGACAUGUGGGCCUUUC